UUCUACAAAUCACAAGAAUUACUAGAGAGCAUAUUGCACCAAGGUUCAUUUGGAGGUUGUUUUGUCAUGAUUUAGAUGAAUUGUGCAGAUUUUUGUCCUUUGCAGGCAAAUAUAGGACUCUCAUGUAAUGUAGUUGCAACUUGACGUUUGAUUUGAGUAUUUAAAUGAUGGGUGGUGGGUGGAACAGAGUAUAUGCACAUUGUAUUGGAUUCUGUGAUUUUGUUUGGAUUCUAAUUAAUUUCAGUGAGUUCCUAGGAAUCUAUUUGGGUUUGUAAAAAAUCUGGAAUGUUGUCAAUGACUUUAAUACGUGGUGCUUUUGGAGAAAAGAUAAAAGGUUAAUUAGAAACCGAAACUUAGGUUCUGGAAAUCCCAAGAAUUACAAGAAAGCAUGUUGCACCAAGGUUCAUUUGGAGGUUGUCUUCUUACGAUUUCUUCGAAUCAAUUUAGCGUUUCUCUGUGGAGUUCAUGUAGACCAUUGAACAUUGUCAUAAUUUCUUUGAUAUAGCUUCUGAGAGUCAUUUCUCUAGGAUGAAACUUUUAGUUGGCUGUCAGCCCAGAGGAACGGGCCUUUCUAUCCAUCAUUUCUUGUCUAGUCUGAUAUUCCUUUUCAUCUUUCUUCAAUUCUUUUAUUGGAAUCAUUACUCUGUUCGUGCUCCUGUCUCUGAGUUACAUGUCUUAGGUAAAGACCCUUUUUGGAUGCUAUCCUAUUAUCCCUUUGGUUAUCUUAUCUUCUUGUAAACCUAUCCACUUCCCUGGGCACGCGUAUUUCCUAAAGACACAAGGGAAUGGAAUAGCAUAUCGCAAGCACUUUUGUACCCUUGCAAACAUUUCAUAUCCGCAUCAGUAGGCCAAGAAUUCACAAAGAGGUAUACGAAAAUCGUUAGUUGACCUAUGAAGUAUUUCCAAUAGUCUAAACUCGUAAAAAUGAACUCUUUUGAUCCAAACAACAUCAACUUCAUAUUUGCAUUCUUGAUUCUUAGAUUGAAAAUUUGGUUCUAAUGAAAGUGCUUUAUGUAUUACUAUCCAUGCCACCAUCUUCAGUGCCAGAGGAGCCCAUUGUGCUUGCCUAUCUCCUUUUUUCUGGGAAUUAAAAUUCUGUAAUAUUUUUUACCCUCGCUAUUGUCUACAUUACUGACUUACUAUCCAUGUCAACUAUCUACAGACACCUCUCAAUUAGAUUUCAACUUUUCCAGAGUGAUAUUCUAUUCAACCCAAUUUACCAAUUUAUGAUGACUAUUCCAUCCCAACAAACCCGUUUGAGUUUACCAUUGGUAUUCGGACGACACCUGUCAGUGAAAAUUAGCCAUUUACUGACACCCAGUAGCCUCUACAUAAAGCUUGCAUUUGUAUUCUAGUCUUCCAAAAAUUCAAAACAGAGAGGGGGAGAGAGAGAGAGGGCAGAAAGGUUCCUGUGAAGAGAAUUGCUUUCUUUUCUAGCAGUGAUGAAAGAUUUUUGAGGAGAAACGCUUUAAGAUGAGUAUUAUUUCUUUACCGUUUCUUUUUACCCCAUUCUUGUAGAUGAGAUUCUUUGAGUUCCGUGCUUUCUUGUUGCAUAUAACUGAUUCAUCUGUUAUUUGAUAUCAAUGAUGACUUAAUCCCUAAUUAUUUGUGAAUUUUGUUCCUGUACAUGAGUUUGCAUGUAGUAGCUGUAGACCACGAUUUAUGGAUUCUUGCUUCCUAUUUGAGUCCUGAUGGUGUAGAUUGCUGUUUUUUUUAAUUUGUUUUACUCUGGUUUUUACAUGGUAGAAACUGAAGGUCUUAGGAAUUUUUCUAUGUGCCUCUCCAUUUUGUUCUGUUUUAAGGGAGAUCUAGACAAUCUUUGUUUUUGUUUUGAAGCACUUUGAAACUAAAAAAAAAAAAGGAAAGACAAAAAUGAAUUGAUUACCAGUUAUUUCUAUAGAAGCUAAA